UGGGGAAUAUUGCACAAUGGGCGCAAGCCUGAUGCAGCCAUGCCGCGUGUAUGAAGAAGGCCUUCGGGUUGUAAAGUACUUUCAGUCGGGAGGAAGGUGGUAAGGUUAAUAACCUUGGCAAUUGACGUUACCGACAGAAGAAGCACCGGCUAACUCCGUGCCAGCAGCCGCGGUAAUACGGAGGGUGCAUGCGUUAAUCGGAAUUACUGGGCGUAAAGCGCACGCAGGCGGUUGAUUGAGUCAGAUGUGAAAUCCCCGGGCUUAACCCGGGAAAUGCAUCUGAUACUGGUCAGCUAGAGUGUUGUAGAGGGGGGUAGAAUUCCAUGUGUAGCGGUGAAAUGCGUAGAGAUGUGGAGGAAUACCGGUGGCGAAGGCGGCCCCCUGGACAAAGACUGACGCUCAGGUGCGAAAGCGUGGGGAGCAAACAGG
rnacentral:rRNA from 1 species